GAGAGGGGGGGAGGGAGAGAGAGAGAGAGAGAGAGAGAUGUAUUACAUAACCUCUUUUUUCUAUGUAGAUCGACAGAGAGGCCAACGCCUACACAGAAUAGAAGAGGAGAUUGUGAGGCGAAAACACGAGCGACGACCCCUGGAGUUAUAUAUUCCUGCUGGCGACCAAGGUCACACAUGUGAAACGGAACGAGACGGUACGCAGCCAAUGACGUGUCCCAGCGCCUCAAACGUCUGCCUAUACGACAGUAUGAUCUGUGACGGAAGCAACGACUGCCCGGGCGGCGAGGACGAGACCUUCCCGCUCUGUGUACUACGUCACUGGGUGGAUUCCUGAAUGCCUUGUUGUUGCCGACAUUCCGCUGGCUCCGGCAUUUCCACGCCAUGUUCGGGACUCCCAGGUCAUGAAGGAACUCCCAGAAUUCAGCGGGAACAAGGGUCACAGAGACUGUGGACUUCCGCCUAGCCCCUGGCGGGCGACGCAGACGACAACGCGGGAGUACGCAGUGAAAGAUGAUGACGUCAAAAUGCUCUAUGAGUGUUCUUGAGGCCAAGAAAGAGACAACCACACUGGAAACGCGUUAAGAAAUUGACAACAAUAUACUAUAUUUAUCAUAAUUAAUAUAACAGUAUACUAUAAUUCUCAUCAUUUAUUAAUAUCUAAACCUUUCUCAAAACCACUGUAUGAGACUGAAAGUGAGCCAAUACGAUUUUGACUUGUCUGUGUGCAUAUUGUAUCAUCCUUGUGCCGCGACUUUCGCUGUGACCAUAUCAUUGACUUGUUUUGGCAGAUGUUUACAGUUACAAUGUUGUGUGAGUAAUGAAUGAAUUGAUUGAUUGUAUCCUGAGCGCGUGAGCCGUGAGGGAGGUGUUGCGAUACUAACAACAUGUGAAUUAAAUCAAACCAUGGCGUGACUGACUAUCGUUGGAGCGUGCUUGUCUGUGUUUACUAUCUAGUCGGCAAACUGUUCAAAUGUACUAAUAUCGGAAGGCAAAAUUUGUUCAAGGGAAAAAAAAGAUUACUCUUUCAUUUCGUUAAUAAUUAAUUGUACCUACAUAUUAUAUUUCUUCUUUUUUUUCUUCUUUUUUUACACAAUUAAAUUUGAGUUUCAACAAAA